CUACUCGGGUAUCUAAUCCUGUUUGCUCCCCACGCUUUCGCACCUCAGUGUCAGUAUCAGUCCAGGUGGUCGCCUUCGCCACUGGUGUUCCUUCCUAUAUCUACGCAUUUCACCGCUACACAGGAAAUUCCACCACCCUCUACCGUACUCUAGCCAGGCAGUUUUGGAUGCAGUUCCCAGGUUGAGCCCGGGGAUUUCACAUUCAACUUACCAAGCCACCUACGCGCGCUUUACGCCCAGUAAUUCCGAUUAACGCUUGCACCCUCUGUAUUACCGCGGCUGCUGGCAC
rnacentral:rRNA from 1 species